AAAUCAUUCUAUCUUUAGUUUUUUUUUAAAAAAAACUUCAAAAAACUCUAAACUCUCUCCUCCCCUCUCUAAGUCCGGCCUAACUCCAGCCGAGCGCUUUCGAGGGCUCCGCCACCGUCGAUGAUCGGAACUUCAAAAGUUGCCAAUUUUUUGGCGAUUAACAAGGGUAUGGUGAACGUGGAUGGCGUGAUGCGUGGGCGCAUGGUGGAGAACGUAGGUAGUGGAGGCAUGGGUAGCGGCGACUAAAGAAGGGAGCAGCAGCUAGGGCUAGGUUUUUCCUUUUUGCUGAAAAACUAGUUUAGUUUUGAGUUGUUUGGGCUCUAGUGUUAGGUUUAUUUUGGGCUUGUAAUUGGGUUUGUUAUUUUUGUAAUUUUAGACUCUUUUUUUGGACUUUUUUUAAGUGGAUUGUUUGAGUUUUAUUUA